UACAGAGGUCUCAAGCGUUGUUCGGAUUCAUUGGGCGUAAAGGGUGCGUAGGUGGCAAGGUAAGUCGGGUGUGAAAUCCUGGGGCUCAACCCCGGAACUGCACUCGAUACUGCCCUGCUCGAGUACUGGAGAGGAGACUGGAAUUUACGGUGUAGCAGUGAAAUGCGUAGAUAUCGUAAGGAAGACCAGUGGCGAAGGCGAGUCUCUGGACAGUUACUGACACUGAGGCACGAAGGCCAGGGGAGCAAACGGG
rnacentral:rRNA from 1 species